AGGUCAGUAGGUUGGUCGUGCCACCGGUACGUACUGGUCUCACUGAUUCCUCCUUCCUGAAGAACCGUAAUGCCAUUAAUUUGGUGUUGCGGGGAAACAGGACUGUUACUUUGAAAAAAUUAGAGUGUUUAAAGCAAGCUAACGCUUGAAUACAUUAGCAUGGAAUAAUGAAAUAGGACGAUCGAUCCUAUUUUGUUGGUUUCUAGGAUUGACGCA
rnacentral:rRNA from 1 species